GGAGAAGGCCAGGGGGUGGCUGGGCUCCUUCUUCCCCCCUCUAGUGGGGAGGAGAGCCCUGCGGCCCCCAACUCUGCCUAGGCCAGAGUUAGAGACAGCAUUUGGAGUGUGUGCUGUGAAGGAAGAGAUUCACAGCACCUGAGGUAAGAGGGAGGAGGCCAGGCCCUCUUUCCCCUCCCUGCAGCUGCGGGACACUUGGGACAGUGCAGAACUGAACCGAGCUGCCUGUGGCCAAGGCUAGGGGGCCUUUCCCCCACCCCCCCCACUGCAUUGAGGCUGUUGGGGGGUGGAUUUUAAGGCUCAGCAUUGAAGCAGAGCCAGUGGACGGGCUGCUGACGAAACAGCUCGGAGCCAGGGAGAGAAAUCCCAGGUGAAAUUGGAGACGGACCGAAGAGAGAGGCCUGGAGGAUGUCUCUACCGUGAUUUAAAUGCAGGACAGCCGAAAACCCGGAGGAGGAAUCAACGUUCCAGGAUGCGUACGUUGAUAAGCUACACUACAGCAGCCUACAGAAUUGAGGUAUGAGACUGAGAAAGGGAGAUCACACAGCAGACCGAGGAGAAAGGACUCAGAGCUAUCUUCUUGGACUCCGUGAGGAAGGAGGGACUUCCACAAACAGCUAGAGUUUGAUUAAUCUUUCGUUUGGUCAUAACUGGCAUAGGAUGCUACAACAGUCACAUGAGCCAUCUUCACACAGCUGUUGCAGAUAGAAUGGAAACUUCAGGCAAAGUUGACCCCUUGAGUCAUGAGGUUUAGAAAGCACCUCCUUGCUUUCUAAUCUCUGUCUCAGAAGAGUCUAGGUAUGGCUGGAUCCAAUUCUAGUCCCAAUCUUGGCCAAAGAUUUUUUCUAAAGGACUAUAUAGAUGUAAUUGAUACCUUAUAUGACUUUGUCAAUUUAUGUAAAUAUUAUGUUUAUUUUAUAUAAAUAUAUUGAUGUAUCUAUUGA